rnacentral:rRNA from 1 species
GCUAAGAAUAUUCCGCAAUGGACGAAAGUCUGACGGAGCGACGCCGCGUGGAUGAGGAAGGCCGAAAGGUUGUAAAGUCCUUUUGUCGAUGAAGAAUAAGUGGUGGAGGGAAUGCCAUCAUGAUGACGUUAGUCGGCGAAUAAGCCCCGGCUAAUUACGUGCCAGCAGCCGCGGUAACACGUAAGGGGCAAGCGUUGUUCGGAAUUAUUGGGCGUAAAGGGUACGUAGGCGGUUAUGUAAGCCCGGCGUGAAAUCCUGCAGCUUAACUGUAGAGCUGCGCUGGGAACUGCGUAACUUGAGUCAUGGAAGGGAAGUUAGAAUUCCAGGUGUAGGGGUGAAAUCUGUAGAUAUCUGGAAGAAUACCGGUGGCGAAGGCGAACUUCUGGCCAAUGACUGACGCUGAGGUACGAAAGUGCGGGGAGCAAACAGGAUUAGAUACCCUGGUAGUCC